UGCCAGCCGCCGCGGUAAUACGGGGGGAGCAAGCGUUGUCCGGAAUUACUGGGCGUAAAGGGCGUGUAGGCGGGUUGGUAAGUCAGAUGUGAAAGCCCACGGCUCAACCGUGGAGGGUCAUCUGAUACUGCCGACCUUGAGUGCGAGAGAGGGUGAUGGAAUUCCCGGUGUAGCGGUGAAAUUCGUAGAUAUUCGGAGGAACACCAGUGGCGAAGGCGGCUUUCUGGACCAAUACUGACGCUGAGAUGCGAAAGCGUGGGGAGCGAACAGGAUUAGAUA
rnacentral:rRNA from 1 species